CUGCCACAAUGUUCGGCUUUACUGUUAAAUUCCUGUGCACAUACUUAAUUUGCUCUGCCAUUUAAUGGAGGAGUGUAGCUAAAAGUAGGUUAUAUAACCUUUGCUUAUUAAACCUUGUCAUGAGGACCAAGUGCCUUAUGCAACUUCACUAAAUGGGGAAAAAAGCUGACAUCAGUAGGUCGGGACACAGCUCUCUGCUGAAUCUACGACAGGGCCUCACAUACAUCAUGUCCUGGGACGGACCCCAGACCUGCUCUCCCCCCCCCCACCUGGGGCUGUUAAGGGCCUGGAACAGGCAGCGUGAGACACAAGGCUGGGGGGCGCACUGGAUGGGGGGCGCACUGGAUGGGAUGCCAGUACCAGGAAAAUAUGGAACAAUUAAUACUUUAUAUACUAGAUAUAUGAGGGAGCUCAAUAUUUAUGCACCAAUAAUGAAAUUAAACUGACUAAGAAACUACAUGGAUCUGUUUUUUAGAUCCAGCAAAGCUUUCUGCAAGAAAUUCUAAGAAAUAUGACUGAAAGCAAGUCUUGCUUUUCCAUUUAUAAAUAGUCCCCGGGAAACUCAUCAGAAUAUCCCUCUAGGACAUCACAUUAAUGUGUCUUUAAAAAGCAGGAAUUUGUUAGUCAAAUUUGUUUUAUAAUGCUCCAUUCAGUAAGAAUCACAAUGUGAUUAUAUGUUUCUGGAAAUUUGUUAAAUGAAGAUUGUUCUGAAAAAUGACACGAGAUGUGAUGAAGGUUUGUUACAGAUAACCCAUUACAUUUUAGCUGUGAAAAUGCAUUGCAUUAUCAUAAAAGUUAAUGGUAUCAUUUGGUUCAACUUAUGUUAUGCUGUAAUCACGUCAAAAUAAUCUAUAAAUUUAUCCUUCUAACAAAAUAUGUGAAAUAAUGCAUUUCUACUAUCUGGAAGGGCAGUCCCUAACUUUGCCAUCAAAGAGCCACUAUGUUCAGAUGUUGUGAUCACAAAAUG